CCUACGGGAGGCAGCAGUAAGGAAUAUUGGACAAUGCUCGCAAGAGUGAUCCAGCCAUGCCGCGUGCAGGAAGAAUGCCCUAUGGGUAGUAAACUGCUUUUGAACUAGAGAAAAUCCCAGUACGUGUACUGGGCUGAUAGUAUAGUUAGAAUAAGCAUCGGCUAACUUCGUGCCAGCAGCCGCGGUAAGACGAAGGAUGCAAGCGUUAUCCGGAUUCAUUGGGUUUAAAGGGAGCGUAGGUGGACUGAUAAGUCAGUGGUGAAAUCUCCGAGCUUAACUCGGAAAUUGCCAUUGAUACUGUUGGUCUUGAGUACAGUUGCUGUGGGCGGAAUAUGACAUGUAGUGGUGAAAUACAUAGAGAUGUCAUAGAACACCGAUUGCGAAGGCAGCUCACAAAGCUGUAACUGACACUGAGGCUCGAAAGUGCGGGGAUCAAACAGGAUUAGAUACCCUGGUAGUCCGCACCGUAAACGAUGAUUACUCGCUGCUAGGGGGCAACCUUUAGUGGCUUAGCGAAAGCGANAAGUAAUCCACGNGGAGUACGCGGCGACGAGAACGACGAAGAAGUUAGAGGCGNGAGAGNGCGACGACGACGACGAGGGAGGAGG
rnacentral:rRNA from 1 species